ensembl:snRNA U6 U6 spliceosomal RNA
GUGCUCACUUUGGCAGCACAUCUACUAAAAUUAGAAUGAUACAGAGAUUAGCAUGACCCCUGCUCAAGGAUGACAUGCAAAUUCGUUAAGCGUUCCAUAUUUUA